CCGGCCCCAACUUGCCCAAAUCCAGCUGGAGCCACCGGCGCGACCAGAGGGCAUCACCGGAAACCCCUCCGGGGCGGGCGGCGGGGCGCGGGGAGACCAGGGCGGGCCACCCUUCCCCGCCCCGCCCCGCGCCCCGCCCACGGGACCCGGACCGCGCCCUCAACCCCAGGCCCCGCGGCCACCCUGGACAGCUCCUGACUGACCGACCUGAGAGACACAGAGACAGAGACAGAGACAGAGAGAUUGAGAGGAUCCGAGACACGGACCCAGACAGACACCCACCGGGACAGACACACAGACGCUCACGCUGACGCAGAGAGGCCCUGCCCAAGAGGCAGCUUCCCCACAGGAGGGCGGUGGUGCUUGAGCUGGGCCCGGGCAAGGAGGCGGGGGCCCUGGGGCUGGCGAUCACCCCUGGGGCCCUGGGACGUGCAGACAGGGUCUCAGGAGUGCAGCGCUCCUGGGAUCCCUGUCCCGCGACCCGGACGCCCAGGAGCCACGGACUGGCAGCCGGGCUCGGGCUCGCUCUCGCUCUCGCUCUCGCUCUCGCUCUCGCUCUCGCUCUGUGUGUGUGCGUUUUUGUGUGCGCCUGCGUGUCUGUGUCUGUUUGUGUGUUUCUUUCCUUCUCUCUUCGCCUCUUCGUUCUGGCUCUUUUCCUCUUUCUGCGGGGCGCCCCCGGACUUCCUGAGUUGACAGAACGACCAGCCAGAAAAGUCAGGACACGGAGAACUUCGCCCGAGAAACCAACGCAAUCUACCAGACGUACAGAACCCCCUCCCCGACGACCACAGCGUCCACAGUCUGCUCGAGUGCAGGGCGAAAGAAACUUUGGUAAUAUAUUUCUUUAAAUCUUGGCUCAUGGAUCCAAACAAAUCUGAUUCAGGAAAUAGUUUACGAUUCAAGUGCAUCCUAAAGUUGGAGCAACCCUGGCUAGAAUAUCAUAGAUCCUUGAGUUGGCAGAGACCUUUCACUCUUCAGUAUAUUUAUAUUCAACGCAAAGAUCCUUCCUUCUAUAUCAUCCUUGACAACAGACCACCUAGAUUCUGUGUAAAUAAUUCCGAUGACAAGAAACGCAUUAAAUAAAGAGACCCCUUUGUUUUUAGAGUUUUAAAUGUUU
rnacentral:lncRNA from 1 species